rnacentral:rRNA from 1 species
AUGAGUGGCGAACGGGUGAGUAACACGUGAGUAACCUGCCCUCUUCUUUGGGAUAACGGUCGGAAACGGCUGCUAAUACCGGGUAUUCACUGUCCUUCGCAUGGGGGGUGGUGGAAAGGUUUUUUCUGGUGGGGGAUGGGCUCGCGGCCUAUCAGCUUGUUGGUGGGGUGAUGGCUUACCAAGGCUUUGACGGGUAACCGGCCUGAGAGGGUGACCGGUCACAUUGGGACUGAGAUACGGCCCAGACUCCUACGGGAGGCAGCAGUGGGGAAUAUUGCACAAUGGGCGAAAGCCUGAUGCAGCGACGCCGCGUGAGGGAUGAAGGCCUUCGGGUUGUAAACCUCUUUCGCUCAUGGUCAAGCCGCAACUCAAGGUUGUGGUGAGGGUAGUGGGUAAAGAAGCACCGGCUAACUACGUGCCAGCAGCCGCGGUAAUACGUAGGGUGCGAGCGUUGUCCGGAAUUAUUGGGCGUAAAGGGCUUGCAGGCGGUUUGUCGCGUCUGCCGUGAAAUCCUCUGGCUUAACUGGGGGCGUGCGGUGGGUACGGGCAGACUUGAGUGCGGUAGGGGAGACUGGAACUCCUGGUGUAGCGGUGGAAUGCGCAGAUAUCAGGAAGAACACCGGUGGCGAAGGCGGGUCUCUGGGCCGUUACUGACGCUGAGGGGCGAAAGCGUGGGGAGUGAACAGGAUUAGAUACCCUGGUAGUCCACGCUGUAAACGUUGGGCACUAGGUGUGGGGGCCACCCGUGGUUUCUGCGCCGUAGCUAACGCUUUAAGUGC